UACAGAGGUCCCAAGCGUUGUUCGGAUUCACUGGGCGUAAAGGGUGCGUAGGUGGUGAGGUAAGUCGGAUGUGAAAUCUCCGAGCUCAACUCGGAAAUGGCAUUGGAAACUACCUUGCUAGAGGGUUGGAGGGGGACUGGAAUGCUUGGUGUAGCAGUGAAAUGCGUAGAUAUCAAGCGGAACACCAGUGGCGAAGGCGGCUCACUGGACCGGUCUGACGCUGAUGCGCGAAAGCGUGGGGAGCAAACGGG
rnacentral:rRNA from 1 species